rnacentral:rRNA from 1 species
AUUGAACGCUGGCGGCAUGCCUAACACAUGCAAGUCGAGCGGAUGAAGGGAGCUCGCUCCUGGAUUCAGCGGCGGACGGGUGAGUAAUGCCUAGGUAUCUGCCCUGCAUUUGGGGAUAACGUCCCUUAACGGGCGCUAAUAUCGCACACGUCCUUAGUUUGAAAGGCAGGGAUCUUCGGACCUCACGCUUCUUGCUGACCCUAGCUCGGAUUAGCUGGCUGCUUGGGUAAAGGCGUACCAAGGCGACGUACCGUAACUGGUCUGAGAGGAUGAUCUGUCACACUGGACCUGAGACCCGGUCCAGCCUCCUCCGGGAGGCGGCGGUGGGGAAUUUUGGACAAUGGGGGAAAGCCUGAGCAAGCCAUGCCGCGGGGGUGUAGAAGGUCUUCGGUUUGUAAAGCCCUUUAAGUUGGGAGGAAGGGCAGGAAGUUAACACCUUGCCGUUUGGACGUUCCCAACAGAAUAGGCACCGGUAACUUCCGU